rnacentral:rRNA from 1 species
GAUGAACGCUGGCGGCGUGCCUAAUACAUGCCAGUCGAGCGAACGGACGAGAAGCUUGCUUCUCUGAUGUUAGCGGCGGACGGGUGAGUAACACGUGGAUAACCUACCUAUAAGACUGGGAUAACUUCGGGAAACCGGAGCUAAUACCGGAUGAUAUUUUGAACCGCAUGGUUCAAAAGUGAAAGACGGUCUUGCUGUCACUUAUAGAUGGAUCCGCGCUGCAUUAGCUAGUUGGUAAGGUAACGGCUUACCAAGGCAACGAUGCAUAGCCGACCUGAGAGGGUGAUCGGCCACACUGGAACUGAGACGCGGUCCAGACUCCUACGGGAGGCAGCAGUAGGGAAUCUUCCGCAGUGGGCGAAAGCCUGACGGAGCAACGCCGCGUGAGUGAUGAAGGUCUUCGGAUCGUAAAACUCUGUUAUUAGGGAAGAACAUAUGUGUAAGUAACUGUGCACAUCUUGACGGUACCUAAUCAGAAAGCCACGGCUAACUACGUG